UACGAAGGGGGCUAGCGUUGUUCGGAAUUACUGGGCGUAAAGCGUGCGCAGGCGGCUAUCCAAGUCAGUGGUGAAAGCCCGGAGCUCAACUCCGGAAUUGCCAUUGAAACUGUUUAGCUUGAGGACGAGAGAGGUGAGUGGAAUUCCCAGUGUAGGGGUGAAAUUCGUAGAUAUUGGGAAGAACACCAGUGGCGAAGGCGGCUCACUGGCCCGAUACUGACGCUGAGGCACGAAAGCGUGGGGAGCAAACAGG
rnacentral:rRNA from 1 species